AAUAGAUACCCCGGUAGUCCACGCCCUAAACGAUGCUCACUAGGUGUUGAGGAAGCGAUUCCUUGGUACCGUAGCUAACGCGUGAAGUGAGCCGCCUGGGGAGUACGGCCGCAAGGUUAAAACUCAAAGGAAUUGACGGGGACCCGCACAAGCGGUGGAUGGUGUGGAUUAAUUCGAUGCAACGCGAACAACCUUACCUACCCUUGACAUGUCCGGAAGCCUGCUGAAAGGUGGGUGUGCUCGAAAGAGAACCGGAACACAGGUGCUGCAUGGCUGUCGUCAGCUCGUGUCGUGAGAUGUUGGGUUAAGUCCCGCAACGAGCGCAACCCUUGUCCCUAGUUGCUACGCAAGGGCACUCUAGGGAGACUGCCGGUGACAAACCGGAGGAAGGUGGGGAUGACGUCAAGUCCUCAUGGCCCUUAUGGGUAGGGCUUCACACGUCAUACAAUGGACGGUACAGAGGGUUGCCAACCCGGCGAGGGGGAGCCAAUCCCAGAAAGCCGUUCGUAGUCCGGACCGCAGUCUGCAACUCGACUGCGUGAAGUCGG
rnacentral:rRNA from 1 species